rnacentral:tRNA from 1 species
AGCAUAGCUCAGUUGGCCAGAGCAGCUGAUUUGUAAUCAGCCGGUCGGGGGUUCGAAUCCCUCUGCUG